GUGGGGAAUAUUGGACAAUGGGGGGAACCCUGAUCCAGCCAUACCGCGUGUGUGAAGAAGGCCUUUUGGUUGUAAAGCACUUUAAGCGAGGAGGAGGCUACCGAGAUUAAUACUCUUGGAUAGUGGACGUUACCCGCAGAAUAAGCACCGGCUAACUCUGUGCCAGCAGCCGCGGUAAUACAGAGGGUGCAAGCGUUAAUCGGAUUUACUGGGCGUAAAGCGCGCGUAGGUGGCCAAUUAAGUCAAAUGUGAAAUCCCCGAGCUUAACUUGGGAAUUGCAUUCGAUACUGGUUGGCUAGAGUAUGGGAGAGGAUGGUAGAAUUCCAGGUGUAGCGGUGAAAUGCGUAGAGAUCUGGAGGAAUACCGAUGGCGAAGGCAGCCAUCUGGCCUAAUACUGACACUGAGGUGCGAAAGCAUGGGGAGCAAACAGGAUUAGAAACCCGAGUAGUCC
rnacentral:rRNA from 1 species